AGUUAAUAUCCAGCUCAAUAGAUUGUCACCAACCAUUUGCCUAAAGCUAACUGCGUCAAGAAGAGCAUGCCUCAAGGGGCUGGAGUGAGCAAUUCAACUUGUGGAGGAAUGAGAAAUGAUAGUGUUGAGACAAGCAACAUAAAACCCCAGG
rnacentral:lncRNA from 1 species